UUAUUUUUAAUCUUUUGAACUUAUAUUUUCACUUAAAUUUAUUUUGUAUAAUGUUAUUUUACUUAUCUGUGUGGUUAAUCGUGUCAUCUUAUACUUUUGAGUAAUAAUCUUAUCUUUAAGUGUGUGGAAGUAAGAGCACAUGGUGAUAAAUGUACAACGUGUGUAUUUUAGAAUGAAAAGGGCAUUUCCAUCUAAAGAGGCUGCUUAUUUGUUUCAUGUGUCAGAAAUAAAAAUGCUCCUGGAGAAGAAUCAAA